rnacentral:rRNA from 1 species
CCGGAUAGCCCAGGGAAACCUGGAUUAAUACCGGAUGAGACGGGACCCGCGAUGGCGGGAUCCGGGAAAGGCGCUGCGGCGCCGCCGGGGGAUGAGUCUGCGUCCCAUUAGCUAGACGGCGGGGUAACGGCCCACCGUGGCGACGAUGGGUAGCCGGCCUGAGAGGGUGACGGCCACAUUGGAACUGAGACACGGUCCAGACUCCUACGGGAGGCAGCAGCUAAGAAUCUUCCGCAAUGGGCGAAAGCCUGACGGAGCGACGCCGCGUGAACGAAGAAGGCCGUGAGGUUGUAAAGUUCUUUUCGGGAGGGGGAACAACCGUGGCAGGGAAUGGCCGCGGGAUGACGUGAAUCCCGGAAUAAGCCCCGGCUAACUACGUGCCAGCAGCUGC